rnacentral:rRNA from 1 species
UACGGGAGGCAGCAGUGGGGAAUAUUGCACAAUGGGCGCAAGCCUGAUGCAGCCAUGCCGCGUGUAUGAAGAAGGCCUUCGGGUUGUAAAGUACUUUCAGUCGUGAGGAAGGUGUUAAGGUUAAUAACCUUAGCAAUUGACGUUAGCGACAGAAGAAGCACCGGCUAACUCCGUGCCAGCAGCCGCGGUAAUACGGAGGGUGCGAGCGUUAAUCGGAAUUACUGGGCGUAAAGGGCACGCAGGCGGUUAAUUAAGUUGGAUGUGAAAUCCCCGGGCUUAACCUGGGAAUGGCAUUCAAGACUGGUUAGCUAGAGUCUUGUAGAGGGGGUAGAAUUCCAUGUGUAGCGGUGAAAUGCGUAGAGAUGUGGAGGAAUACCGGUGGCGAAAGGCGGCCCCCUGGACAAAAGACUGACGCUCAUGUGCGAAAGCGUGGGGAGCAAACAGGGAUUAGAUACC